rnacentral:rRNA from 1 species
UACGGGAGGCAGCAGUAGGGAAUCUUCCACAAUGGGCGCAAGCCUGAUGGAGCAACACCGCGUGAGUGAAGAAGGGUUUCGGCUCGUAAAGCUCUGUUGUUAAAGAAGAACACGUAUGAGAGUAACUGUUCAUACGUUGACGGUAUUUAACCAGAAAGUCACGGCUAACUACGUGCCAGCAGCCGCGGUAAUACGUAGGUGGCAAGCGUUAUCCGGAUUUAUUGGGCGUAAAGAGAGUGCAGGCGGUUUUCUAAGUCUGAUGUGAAAGCCUUCGGCUUAACCGGAGAAGUGCAUCGGAAACUGGAUAACUUGAGUGCAGAAGAGGGUAGUGGAACUCCAUGUGUAGCGGUGGAAUGCGUAGAUAUAUGGAAGAACACCAGUGGCGAAGGCGGCUACCUGGUCUGCAACUGACGCUGAGACUCGAAAGCAUGGGUAGCGAACAGGAUUAGAUACCCUGGUAG